CCUCAAGGCUACUUGCUUUCUUUUACUUAACGAAGCUUAUCAGACCAUGUUUGACCUUCAUAUAGAAACCUGGGUCUAACAAUGAGAGGCCCUCUCCAUGAUGAAGAUGGCUGCAGUUUCCGUGGUUUCUGCUAUGGAAUGAAAAAUCCUACAGGCAGAGCCCAUGCUUCCUGCAGCUGCCAGCUCUGCCCUGCCUCCUUCCCCUCCCAGCUCCCCUGUGAGAAGCACUAUCCUCAGAAUGACUCAACCUCAUUUUCCAGGAGGGUCUUAGAACUCAUUGUACUUUUUUCUUGCAACCGUAAAUUUUCUGCAGUUUGUUCACCUAAAGACUUUUCACAUGACAGGUUUCUAUGUCUUAGAACCUACUUUCUCUGAUCCUAAUCCCACUCAGGGGAGGACACAAAUAUUGCACUUCAGUCACUUUUAAUGUGUCUGCUGUACAAUACCACCUGGCAGAGUACCCAAAAAGCAACAACUCAAAAUCUAGCCCACCAGAUAUUCCAUGAGAUUUGAUGGUGAUGAGCACUGCAGUCCAGGGUUCAAGGAAAGCUAGGAUGGGUAUUCCUCAUGGUAAUUUCUGAGCAACUUUGAGUCACUCAACGUAUUUCAUUGUCUUCUAGGCGUAUUUAGUCUUUCUAUUGAAUGUAAGAACUGGACAGAGAGGUGGGGAGCAUCUUAUCGCUCACUUUGCAAAAGAGGAAACAGCUCUGAGGUCUCAUUUUACGUAUCUAUUGACUAUUUUAUACUCAGUUUGGAAACAAAAUGAUAAAUAAUAGAGCAAUCUAUCACUUUGUAAAAUCUAGAAGACUAAGCUUUGAAGUUCUUCCAAGUCCCUAAUUAGAUAAUAGUCAUCACUUAAAGAAUAAACUGUUAGGUAUUGAGAUAGAUAUAACCUGUUCAUUUAUUGACGAAUAUCAGCCUAAAAGUUUACCAGGAAAUAAUUUAAAAUGUAUAAAAUCUUCCUAAUUACUCAAAGGAAAUUUAUAAUAGUCAAAAAUUUUACCUACUAACCAAAAAUCCAGAAGAUUCAGGACAAAAAUAAAUGGAAGAAUAGAUAAUUAUCUAAAUACACUUGUGGAGGUCAGAAUAAUGGGCCCCCAAAAAGGUCCAAGUAAGUCUCUGGAGUCUGUGAAUACGUUACCACACAUGGCAAAAGGGAUUUGCAGAUGUGAUUAAGUAAGGAUCUUGAGAUGGGAAGAUUAUCCUGGAUUACAUGGGCAGGCCCAAUGUAAUAACAAGGGUGUAGGGUGCAAGGAAGAAAGGUGCGGAAGAGUUACAGAAAAUGGGACGACAGAAGCAGAGGUAGUUUUACAAUUGCUGGCUGAGGGACCAAGCCAAAGAAUGUGGGCUCCCUCUAGAGGCUGGAAAAAGGAAGAAAACAGAUUCUUCCCUAGAGCCUCUAGGAGUACAGCUCUGCUGACACCUAGAUUUCAGCCCCCUGA
rnacentral:lncRNA from 10 species